rnacentral:lncRNA from 1 species
ACUACAUGGAAGAUAAGCGGAGAAAAGCAAACUACAAGUGUUCUGAUACGUAUCUAUACAAUGGAGUGGAUGUAUUCUGAAGUCUGUGAAACUGAACACACCAAUAAGUGCAGAAGUCCUGCUUUUGGAAGAAAACAUUAACUGUGCAAUACAGAAAUGCCCAAAAGUGUGGUGAAUUGAGAAGAAUUGUUGCCACAAUCCUUAAAGGAAAUCGACAGCGGAGAGAGGAUUCUUUAACAAGACUCUUAAAAGCUGCAGCAAAACAUCGUUUGAAUUCAGCAAGUGCAACAGCAGACCUGCAAACAGUACCUGGAUGGUUUGCUUUUUUUUUCACUUCUGGGUAAUAAAUCUUCUGCUUCCCUUUUACACUGUUUAAUGGGUGUCACGUCAAAAAGGUGAAUUUAACCUGAUAAAUCAAGAUAAUAGGAGAAGGAUUCUGGAAGCAUUGUUGGAGGUUAUGAGAUCCAGCCGCAGUUAAUUUGAGAAUUAAUUAACUGAAAGAAGCUUCCAGGCUGUGCUCCAGGACCCUGAGCGAGGCUUAGUUUUCAAUCAAAGCUUUCAGAGGAAGAGAUUAUGUGAAAGAAGCACUGCCACAUCCACCAAGUGCUGCUUCAUCUGACUCCUGUCUCAAGGGAACGCUUGUCAGUGUUAAAGCCUUUAUUCUGCUUCAAAACAAGUAGCAAGUUUAAAUAUUAUUAUUUGCAUACCUGCUGUCAGAAGUUCAACAGCUAUGCAGAACCGUGCAACCUUUUCUACCAAAGAACCUAGGCGAAGACAACAAUUUUCCCUCUUCUCAAUAAGGUUUCUCAGCCUCAGACCCACAGCUCUUUAGAGAUCAGCUCACAGGUACGCGCUAGCCGUCGGUAGGCAGGAGAAGCGGGGUACAUCGCUUUCACACAGAGCCAGCAGUUACCUCAGGAGCUGCAAAG